AAUGCCCCAUGGUGAUGUCCUCAGGCAUCUGAGGUCAUCUAAAGAUCCGUCGGAUGGGGAUAGGCUCGCGUGACAUUAGCUAGACGGCGGGGUAACGGCCCACCGUGGCGACGAUGUCUAGGGGUUCUGAGAGGAAGGUCCCCCACACUGGAACUGAGACACGGUCCAGACUCCUACGGGAGGCAGCAGUGAGGAAUAUUGGUCAAUGGCCGGAAGGCUGAACCAGCCAUGCCGCGUGAAGGUCAGUGCCCUAUGGGCGUUAAACUUCUUUUGUGCGGGAGCAAUAAUGGUCACGUGUGGCCAGACGAGAGUACCGUACGAAUAAGCAUCGGCUAACUCCGUGCCAGCAGCCGCGGUAAUACGGGGGAUGCAAGCGUUAUCCGGAUUUAUUGGGUUUAAAGGGUGCGUAGGCUGUGAGGUAAGUCAGCGGUGAAAUGCCCCCGCUCAACGGGGUGAAGUGCCAUUGAUACUGCCUUGCUGGAAUGCGGAUGCCGUGGGAGGAAUGUGUGGUGUAGCGGUGAAAUGCAUAGAUAUCACACAGAACACCGAUUGCGAAGGCAUCUCACGAAUCCGCGAUUGACGCUGAUGCACGAAAGCGUGGGUAUCAAACAGGAUUAGAUACCCUGGUAGUCCACGCUGUAAACGAUGAUGACUAACCGUCGGCGAUACACAGUCGGUGGCCAAG
rnacentral:rRNA from 1 species